rnacentral:rRNA from 1 species
GACGAACGCUGGCGGCGUGCUUAACACAUGCAAGUCGAACGGAAAGGCCCUGCUUUUGUGGGGUGCUCGAGUGGCGAACGGGUGAGUAACACGUGAGUAACCUGCCCUUGACUUUGGGAUAACUUCAGGAAACUGGGGCUAAUACCGGAUAGGAGCUCCUGCUGCAUGGUGGGGGUUGGAAAGUUUCGGCGGUUGGGGAUGGACUCGCGGCUUAUCAGCUUGUUGGUGGGGUAGUGGCUUACCAAGGUUUUGACGGGUAGCCGGCCUGAGAGGGUGACCGGCCACAUUGGGACUGAGAUACGGCCCAGACUCCUACGGGAGGCAGCAGUGGGGAAUAUUGCACAAUGGGCGGAAGCCUGAUGCAGCAACGCCGCGUGCGGGAUGACGGCCUUCGGGUUGUAAACCGCUUUCGCCUGUGACGAAGCGUGAGUGACGGUAAUGGGUAAAGAAGCACCGGCGAACUACGU